rnacentral:lncRNA from 1 species
GAGCAAAUUAGAAUCCAAGGAAGUUGACAUGUCAUCACUUCAUUUUUUUGCGCCUGCGCAUAAAUCUGAGAAACAAACCACAUUUGUUCCGGACCUGGGAUGCCUUCCGGACCUGGGAUGCCUGCCUUCUGAUGGAGAUAAUCAAAGGUACGAAGGACAGUAUUGGAGGAGACAACGCUUCCAGAGAGAGGAGAAAGAGCUUCCUUAUCGAGAGGGAGGUGGGAGAACGCUGGGCUUGAGGAUACAAGGCACCAAGGAAAGAUCAAGAAAAAGCCCUUAUGUGAAUAUGAAUCAGCGUGAGUUAAAUUUGAAUAAAUGCCAUUCUGUGGGUGUUAUUAAUUUUAUGAAGUGAUAAGAGCAUAGUUCUCUGCCAAGUUAGUAGAUUUCUUCAACUAACUGAUUAAACAGGUUGUUCCAGAAAUCAAAUCGUUGUGUGAGGUCAUCCGUUGUGUAGGGUGUGUGUGUGUGUGUGUGUGUGUGUGUGUGUUUUACUAUCCUUGUGGGGUCCAGAAGUCCAGAAGUCCUCACAAGGAUAGUAAAACAAGAAAAAAAAGGCUAUUUUAGCCUUAGGGGUUAGGUUUAGUGUUACAACUGGGGUUAGGAUUAGAAUUAGGAUUAGGGUUAGGAUUAGGAUUAGGGUUGAAUUGGGAUUAGGAUUAGGGUUAGAAUUAGGUUUAGGGUUGAAUUGGGAUUAGGAUUAGGGUUAGAAUUAAGUUUAGGGUUGAAUUAGGAUUAGAAUUAGGUUUAGGGUUGAAUUAGGAUUAGAAUUAGGUUUAGGGUUAGAAUUAGGAUUAGGGUUAGAAUUAGGAUUAGGGUUGAAUUAGGUUUAGGGUUGAAUUAGGAUUAGGGUUAGAAUUAGGAUUAGGGUUAGAAUUAGGAUUAGGGUUAGAAUUAGGUUUAGGGUUGAAUUAGAAUUAGUAUUAGGUUUAGAAUUAGGAUUAGUUUAGGGUGAAAUGGACACUUUACAUGAGCAAAGGGAUGGAAAGGGAGUGUAUCACAUGCUUAUACCCCUCCAGCCCUUACCGCCUGGCCCUGGUCGUUUAAAAUGGGAAGCUAGCUGAUAAGGCUGUUACCGACUGUUCCGGCCCUUACCACCUGGUUCAUUCUGAAUGGGAAGCUAGCUGUUACCGACUGUUCUGGCCCUUACCACCUGGUUCAUUCUGAAUGGGAAGCUAGCUUUUACCGACUGUUCUGGCCCUUACCACCUGGUUCAUUCUGAAUGGGAAGCUAGCUGUUACCGACUGUUCUGGCCCUUACCACCUGGUUCAUUCUGAAUGGGAAGCUAGCUGUUACCGACUGUUCUGGCCCUUACCACCUGG